GAUUAAGUUAUUAAGGGCGCACGGUGGAUGCCUUGGCACUAGAAGCCGAAGAAGGACGUUACUAACGACGAUAUGCUUUGGGGAGCUGUAAGUAAGCGUUGAUCCAGAGAUUUCCGAAUGGGGAAACCCAACAUGAGUUAUGUCAUGUUAUCGAUAUGUGAAUACAUAGCAUAUCAGAAGGCAGACCCGGAGAACUGAAACAUCUUAGUACCCGGAGGAAGAGAAAGAAAAAUCGAUUCCCUGAGUAGCGGCGAGCGAAACGGGAAGAGCCCAAACCAACAAGCUUGCUUGUUGGGGUUGUAGGACACUCUAUACGGAGUUACAAAAGUAUAUAUUAGACGAAUCAUCUGGAAAGUUGAAUCAAAGAAGGUAAUAAUCCUGUAGUCGAAAAUAUAUACUCUCUUGAGUGGAUCCUGAGUACGACGGAGCACGUGAAAUUCCGUCGGAAUCUGGGAGGACCAUCUCCUAAGGCUAAAUACUCUCUAGUGACCGAUAGUGAACCAGUACCGUGAGGGAAAGGUGAAAAGUACCCCGGAAGGGGAGUGAAAGAGAACUUGAAACCGUGUGCUUACAAGUAGUCAGAGCCCGUUAAUGGGUGAUGGCGUGCCUUUUGUAGAAUGAACCGGCGAGUUACGAUUUGAUGCAAGGUUAAGCAGUGAAUGUGGAGCCGUAGCGAAAGCGAGUCUGAAUAGGGCGUUGAGUAUUUGGUCGUAGACCCGAAACCAGGUGAUCUACCCUUGGUCAGGUUGAAGUUCAGGUAACACUGAAUGGAGGACCGAACCGACUUACGUUGAAAAGUGAGCGGAUGAACUGAGGGUAGCGGAGAAAUUCCAAUCGAACCUGGAGAUAGCUGGUUCUCUCCGAAAUAGCUUUAGGGCUAGCCUCAAGUGAUGAUUAUUGGAGGUAGAGCACUGUUUGGACGAGGGGCCCUUCUCGGGUUACCGAAUUCAGACAAACUCCGAAUGCCAAUCAAUUUAACUUGGGAGUCAGAACAUGGGUGAUAAGGUCCGUGUUCGAAAGGGAAACAGCCCAGACCACCAGCUAAGGUCCCAAAAUAUAUGUUAAGUGGAAAAGGAUGUGGCGUUGCCCAGACAACUAGGAUGUUGGCUUAGAAGCAGCCAUCAUUUAAAGAGUGCGUAAUAGCUCACUAGUCGAGUGACACUGCGCCGAAAAUGUACCGGGGCUAAACAUAUUACCGAAGCUGUGGAUUGUCCGUAGGACAAUGGUAGGAGAGCGUUCUAAGGGCGUUGAAGCAUGAUCGCAAGGACAUGUGGAGCGCUUAGAAGUGAGAAUGCCGGUGUGAGUAGCGAAAGACGGGUGAGAAUCCCGUCCACCGAUUGACUAAGGUUUCCAGAGGAAGGCUCGUCCGCUCUGGGUUAGUCGGGUCCUAAGCUGAGGCCGACAGGCGUAGGCGAUGGAUAACAGGUUGAUAUUCCUGUACCACCUAGUAUCGUUUUAAUCGAUGGGGGGACGCAGUAGGAUAGGCGAAGCGUGCUAUUGGAUUGCACGUCCAAGCAGUAAGACUGAGUGUUAGGCAAAUCCGGCACUCAUAAGGU
rnacentral:rRNA from 1 species